rnacentral:ncRNA from 1 species
UAGGUGGUUUGUUAUAGUUGCUAUUUUUUUUUAGACAAACAAUAAUAGCCACCGAAUGAAUGAGAGUAAACCAGAUUUUCUC